UAUUAUUGCGCUUCAUCUACCUGUCACAACUUUGAUCACCUCGCAAUAAAUAAAGAACAAAGAGAAAAGACAAAGAAGAGCGUCCUUCAAAAUAAAAUCUCCCUCGUUUUUUUUUUUUUUAUGUUUUUUGCAGCGAGUGAGGACAGGUUGCCAUAGCAACAGUUGGGUUCCUCUCUCUUUUCCCCACACAAAUCUUUUCUUUUCUUUUUUUUUUUCCUUUGCACAUGAUUGCUUACCGCUCGAUUCACUGUUAAUAAGGAAGAAAGAUGAAAACCAAAGGAGCGAGCAGCCCUCCGUCAGGCCGAGCCCGGCGCCGGAGCUAGCUUAAGGAGCGGGAGCCGGCUAGCAGGAGGGAGGCUGAGCUUCGUUUGCGUCGCUGCAGGCAACGAGGACCAGCAGCCAUGUGAAGCCAAAACCCCAGAGAGCUGCCGCUGUAAACCAGAUUAAGAAAUAGCCAUGCCUGGCAUCGACUUUGUCUUCUACCGCCGUUCACAUGAAGGUUUUGCAGCUUCAAAGAAGCAGGUUUCUGUUAAAGCUGCAGGGAGUGCCGACCGGUUCGCCUUCAGUCUGAGGACAAAAUGGUGCAACAGCUUCACCUCAACCAGUAUUAUUAUUCUACAAGCUUAAAGUUCAGAGUCCUACAUCAACAUUCCUAAUCACCUGCUGCACAUUCCCUCCUCCGGGAGCUCUGGACAUCAGGAGGAAUAUUCUGGAGCCGAGCGGAGCACGACUAGUUGUUCUCCGUGAUUUCUCCACUUGUGAGCUGUGAUCAUGUGUCAAGUUGUCAAGCUGUUCAUUGGUGUG